UUUUUCUUUUUUUUUAAGAAGUCCAUGCUCUCAUUCUUUGAAUUUAGCUUUGAAGUCAUUAGACUAAAAAUAGGUGUGAGACCUGGGCACGGGGAUCCUCUGUGGCUGCUCCCGUGCCCGAGCCGGGCUGCUGCCCUGCCCCAGCUGGCCCGCAGCCGCAGGGCCUCCCCAAAUCCCCAGAGCAUCGCCCUGCUCGAGCAGCGCGGCCGUGCCCAGAGCUGCAGAGGGCAGCUGGAGCCGUCCCCGCACAGCACCGCCCCGGAGCGGAGCCCAGAACGAGCGGAGCAAAGGCGAGCUUGUGCCUGGGGAGCCGGGGCACUGCCGCCUGUGCCAUGCCACACGCAACCCUCCCUGCCCGCAGCUCUCAUCCCCAUUGUCUUCAUCAUUCCAUCGUGUUCCACAGCCCCGGGAGCUGCUGCUUGUCACAGUGGUGGUCUGAGCCACCACUCUCAGGAGAGCGGGAUACCGGGGCACCAGGGCUUGGAGUCCCAGUGCUACAAAUCCAGGCUCAAAUACCCACAGAGCUUGGAAAGCUUGGACACAUUUUCAGCUUCAGAUCUGAUCAAAGCUUUACUUUUUUUGGGGACAGUAUCCCAGAGCCCCGCUCUGUGGCAGGCGAUGAGUUUAGCAGACAUUGAGCCCAGGCUAUUCUUUGUAAGCCUGGUCAUUGUUUUGAGGUGUUUAGUUUGUGGUUUCAGCCUCUCGGGGUCAGCAAACCAGGGGUUACAGCCACAGGGGCUCAGUGGUGGGUGUGUGGUGUAAGGGAUGCUCAGUGAUAAGUUCAUGUUUGAGGGUUUGAGAUGCCAGCUCAAUUUUAUUUUUUUUUUUUUAUUAUUUCAUUCUCCUUGCUAUAAUACUUCAGCAAACACGUUUGUGGCUGCCUGCAAACCCCUCUGCUCUCACCUUGCCCAUCACCACCACCAGGACCGGGAGUGCUGCUCCUAAUCCUGCCCAGACUGAUCUCACUUUUCAAGUGCUCGGCACUUCUUCCCCCCAAUUCCAAAACAAACCCAUCUAAACAGGAUGUUGGGAAGGGUGUCCAGGUGCACCUGGAAAGCCUUGGAGCCAGCCCAAAAUGUCUUGCGUCAGGCCCUGGUACAUCUCACCCUUCUUUGAUCUUGAAAUCCAGUUCUCCAGAGCCAAAUCAUCUCUCUCUGCUCCCAGUGAGCUCCCUCAAGGUGGAUCUCAGCAAGACCUGGAGCAGUGGAGCCCAUCCCAGGGACAGUUUGGAUGAGGACUGGAAUGUGCAGGACUGGAAUGCCAGUCCUGCACAGGCCAACAUUUUGGUUUGUUUCUGUUAAAAGCUUUAAGGGAUUUGAGUUCCACCAUGAGAGACACAGCCACAACCACCCCUCCUGCUGCCUCUGAGGGUUUACUUCCAUGGAGAGACUCUGGCAGAUCCCCCACAGGACUGCACUGGCUGGGAGCAAGUCCUGGGGAAUUUCAGCCCCUUACACAGCUCUGAGUGGGGGUUGUGGCUGCAAGAAGAGAUGGCUGGAAAGUUACACCCAGCUCACAAAGAACUUGGAAGGAAGAAGAUGAAAGGAGUCACAUAGUCAGUCUGGACUCAUAGAGCACCUGGGGAUCCAGAAUUUGCCACAGGCUGGAAGCAGUGGUUCUGUGUUUGCUGGCAAACAGAGCCAUCAUCGCACCCUCCUCCUCCUCAAGUGGCAUCUGCUUCCACUGGUGGUAUCACAGAUGUGUGGGAGCUGCCUGGCCAUGGCUGUUCCCUUCCCUGUGCAAGCUGGAGAGGCUCCAGAGGACACCCCACUGCAGCAUCCCACCUGGGCAUCCCACCUGGGCAUCCCACCUGGGCAUCCCAGCCAGCCUCACACUGGCACUGCUCUGGGCUCCUGGGUGCACCCUGCAGCAGUCACCCUCUGCCCCAGGUGCCUCAGCCCCGCCUCACAGCAGAGCCAAAGGGCAGCUGUCCUGCCCCAGCACUGUCCUGCCCCAGCACUGUCCUGGGGAACGGGGCUCCCGGGGAUGCCCGUGAGUGGUGCCCAAACCCAGCAGCUGAGCUGUUGGCAGGGGAGCUGGUGGUGCACAGACAGCUCUGUGUGCCUCGGAGCAGGAAGGUGCCCUGGCUAGGCAGUAGUGCUGGGGCUGCCUUACCACAGUCUGGGGCUGAGAGACACCUUUCACCCUUUCCAGGGGAACCAAAGCAAAAAUGAAUAAACCUGUCAAUCUCACUCAACCGCCAGUUUUCAUCUCCUUUGCCCGGAGCUGCAGCCAGGCCCAGCUGUGAGACCUGCACCCUCCAGAGGCUUCUGUGCCCCUGGCAGGAGCUCAUGAGGGAGGAAAGAUGGCUCAAAGACUGUGCAAGGCACCUUCUUCCCAAAGUCAUGCCUCAGUAUAACCUGCAUUGCACCAACAGCCCCAUCAGGGGCGGCUCUUCCAGUGCAGGGAGAACAUUCCCUAGCCUAGGGACACUCACCCCCAGUGAGAGCCUCUCCAAGGCUUUCUGCACAUACCAACCCAUCCCAGCAAUGUGUUCAGCUGCUGAGACAGCCCUGGGUGCUGUCUGACAGGUCCACCCCAGUCCCCUUUCAACUCUAAAGAGGAUUCAAGGGAAAAAUGCAAGUUUUUUGGCACCAAAGGGAAGGGUUAAGAAUUGUUGCUGCCAGAUUGAGAGCAGUUGCAAAAGGGAAACAUAAAAAUAAAAAUAUGCAUCCCUAAAAUAAAGCUGACAUUCAUUUGUUAUCUUGGCUGACACGUGGGGCUGCUCCCACUGCCUGGGUUUGGCUGCAGCGGGUGGAGCUCCCACAGAGCCCGGCUGUGCUCGGGAUAUCUCCGGUCCUCAGCAGGACCAUGGGCACCCCCUUCCCACUUCUUUUGUGGAGACUGAAGCCAUGAGCCUUUCAGAAGAGCAGUGACAGAGGGACAGCUGGAGAGGGACUGUUUUUCCUGGCAGCUUCAGGAUACCAGCAGGGCUGCUGGAAGAAUGGAGGCACCACAGCAAGUGGGGUGAGGUGGCUGGUGACAGGGACAUUCCCUGCUCUGCCCUCUCUGCUCUCCCACUGCCAUGGCUGGUGUGGCAGGGGAGGGCUUGCCCAGGGGACAGGAUUUUGGGCUGGGACAUGCACCUGAGGUCACACACAUUCCAUCAGCUGCAGCUAUGCUGAGUCCCCAGCUGAGGGGAGCUGCUGGGGUCCAGCUGUCACCAGUGGAAGAAGUGACCCAAACCUGGCACAACCCUGUGCUGUGCUGCACCUGGGCCCCCUAAAAACACACGUUUCACCUUCCUACACAAGCCCAUACAGGCUAAAAACCACAUUUAGUUUUGCUGCUUUUCCAGGUGUCAGCUGAGUCUAGAAAUUCCCAGGAAAGAGGAGCAAAGAGGCCCCGGACAGCUCACAGCACUAGUGCAGGUCUCUUUACCCAGCCAGAAGCAGAGAAGAUGGCACAGCCUGGGACAUCCAUCCCUACCAAAAAAUCACCGUUCCCUGCACUUCAAAAACACAUUCAUGUGCCCAGGGAGGUGUGGGAACAGCCAAGCCCAGUACCUGGCUCCCCUCCAAAGCUGUCAGCAAAAUAAUGAGUAACUCUGAGACAGCUGGGCUGAAUUCCUGGCUAAUCAACUAAUUUAUUUACUCCUCUGAUAGUUAUUUGUUGUGCUGGGACACAAAUGGAAAUUUUAACAACUUUUUUUCCCUAUCUGUGCAUGGAAAACUGUCUUCCCAAGGAGGGACAAGGGACAGGAUGCCAGGCACAGGGUGGGCAUUGGAAGCAGACCUUUGGGAAUAUGGAAAUGACCAAAGACUGUCUUACCCAGCACUCCCUCCCAGGGGGUUGCUCUAAUCUUGGUUUAGGAAGCUCAAAAUGGACAAUUUUGGAAUAUUUUUCCAAAUAAAUGCAAGUUUCCAAUGGGC
rnacentral:lncRNA from 1 species